rnacentral:rRNA from 1 species
CCUACGGGCGGCAGCAGUGGGGAAUAUUGGGCAAUGGAGGAAACUCUGACCCAGCAACGCCGCGUGAAUGAUGAAGGUCUUCGGAUUGUAAAGUUCUUUUCUAAGGGAAGAAGAAAGUGACGGUACCUUAGGAAUAAGCCUCGGCUAACUACGUGCCAGCAGCCGCGGUAAUACGUAGGAGGCGAGCGUUAGCCGGAAUGACUGGGCGUAAAGGGUGCGGAGGUGGUUUGGCAAGGUAGUAGCGUAACUCCAAGGCUCAACCUUGGAACUACUACUAAAACUGUUGGACUUGAGUGCAGGAGGGCCCACCGGCAUUCCUUGUGUAGCGGUGGAAUGCGUAGAUAUUAGGCGGCCCACCGGCGGCGCAGGCGGCUUACUGGACUGUACCUGACGUUGCGGCUCGCAGGCGUGGGGAGCAAAC